rnacentral:rRNA from 1 species
GUAGGUGGCAAGCGUUGUCCGGAAUUAUUGGGCGUAAAGCGCGCGCAGGCGGGUUCUUUAAGUCUGAUGUGAAAGCCCACGGGCUCAACCGUGGAGGGUCAUUGGAAACUGGAGAACUUGAGUACAGAAGAGGAAAGCGGAAUCCCACGUGUAGCGGUGAAAUGCGUAGAGAUGUGGAGGAACACCAGUGGCGAAGGCGGCUUUCUGGUCUGUAACUGACGCUGAGGCGCGAAAGCGUGGGGAGCAAACAGGAUUAGAUACCCUGGUAGUCCACGCCGUAAACGAUGAGUGCUAAGUGUUAGGGGGUUUCCGCCCCUUAGUGCUGCAGCUAACGCAUUAAGCACUCCGCCUGGGGAGUACGGCCGCAAGGCUG